rnacentral:rRNA from 1 species
AAUCAACGCUGGCGGCGUGCCUCAGACAUGCAAGUCGAACGCUGCUGUUCGCCUUCGGGUGGACAGCGGAGUGGCGCACGGGUGAGUAACACGUAAGUAAUCUACCUUUGGGUGGGGAAUAACAGCCGGAAACGGCUGCUAAUACCGCAUAAUGCAGCGGCAUCACAUGAUGACAGUUGUUAAAGCGAGGGAUCGUAAGACCUCGCGCCUGAAGAGGAGCCUGCGGCAGAUUAGGUAGUUGGUGAGGUAAUGGCUCACCAAGCCUGCGAUCUGUAACCGGCCUGAGAGGGCGGUCGGUCACACUGACACUGACAUAC